rnacentral:rRNA from 1 species
GACGAACGCUGGCGGCGUGCCUAAUACAUGCAAGUAGGACGCAGUUGCGAACGGGUGAGUAACGCGUAGGUAACUACCUAUUAGAGGGGGAUAACUAUUGGAAACGAUAGCUAAUACCGCAUACUAGUAGAUGGACCUGCGUUGUAUUAGCUAGUAGGUAGGGUAAUGGCCUACCUAGGCAACGAUACAUAGCCGACCUGGUGGGGUGAUCCGCCCCACUUGGACUGGGACCCGGGCCCGACUCCUACGGGGGGCCGCAGUAGGGAAUCUUCGGCAAUGGGGGGAACCCUGACCGCGCAACGCCGCGUGAGUGGAGAAGGUUUUCGGAUCGUAAAGCUCUGUUGUUAAGGGAGCGGUACUUAACCAGAAAGGGACGGCUAACUACGUGCCAGCAGCCGCGGUAAUUC